GGAGAGAUGGCCGAGCGGUCUAAGGCGCACGCCUGGAGAGCGUGUUACGCUAACCCCGUACGUGGGUUCAAAUCCCACUCUCUCCGCCA
rnacentral:tRNA from 2 species